UUGGAGGAUCGAGAAGGACGAAGAAGAAGGUGUAAGCAGCUGGUAAAUGUGAAAAGUUAAGAUGGUUUCACCACCCAGUGUCUUUAAGACUGUGAUAAAUGCAAUGGCCAACGAUGAAGGAUUAGUAGAGAAGAAAACUGUGUGACUUUAAAAGAAAACCAGUGAGAUAAAAUCAUAGAAAAUGUAUGAUGAUUCAGGAUGUGGUCAUUUGGUCCUGUUCUGUGGAUGCCCUAAGACAGUGUCUACCCAUCACGCCAUCUGAUAUCACUUGUUCUGAGCUUGUUUCUCUCUCAAACUUAAACUACAGAGAGCCUGUGGAUAGAGGAUGAAGAGUGACCUUGGACUAAUUUUCUAGGUCAAAGAUCAUAGGUGAUGUGAAGAAAACCAGGAAACUGAUGUUGAAAGAAGUACUUAAUGACCCUUAUGAAUGGACUUAAAUGUGAAAGACUGUUCCAUUGUUUAUCUAAGAUAUAUG